UGCUACGAUUUUUUAUCGAACUAACAAAUAAAAAUGGAUUUAAAUAACAAAUUAAAGACUGUUGAAGAAUAAUAUAAAACCCAUGAUAGUUUAACGAAAUAAUAAGAGGAGUUUCCUAUCGGAGACGGCACUAAUGUACGGUAAUCGCUGGUGCCAGGCCAUUCCACCAUAGGAUUUCAGGGAGGCCUCCAGCAGAGGAACGGUCGACUUGGCCGCGAACACCUUAAGAGUCAGCCCGAUGACCAUGGCGAUGACCAUCUCGGAGCUGCCUGGAGCGAAGCGUACCACUCGGCCGCAAUCCUCGUGGACCUGCUUGACGUCCGCGGGCACAUAGGGUCGGUUCAGGUCCCAGGUGACCACAUCCCCGCCGGCCAGCGAGGUGAUGAAGAGCCUGUUGCUGUGGGCCCAGUCUGCCGACAUCAGGGGGAAUUUGGGCGACUCCACGGAGAUGACUGUCUGCUUGAGCGUCACAUUGUAUAGAUGAAUGAUGCCUGCAAGGAGUUUCCUUAGUUACACCGUGGGCUAAACACUGAUAGUAGCAAGCACACCCUUCUUUUCCGCCACAAGAACCUUGUUGGGAUCCUCGGGGUGACUCUUGACGGACAUUCCAGCGGAGGACAGGCCAAAGGUUAUGACAUUCUCCCCGGCGCCUGUCGUCGUCCAGAAUCUGCAGGUGAAGUCAUCGCUAACGGAUGCCAGCAGUUCGCCCUCGCAAACCCAGGACACAUCGUUGACGUAGUCCCCAUGCCCGCGGAGCACCUGGAGCGUGCUGAACUGGCCCAGAUCGGUGCGGUAUAGUUUGAGCUGGCUGCCGUUAGCCGCGCACAAAGUUACAUUGUUGGGCGUGCAGUUGAGCGAAGUGUCCGGCGAGAAGGCCAGUGCGCUCACGCUCCGCGGUUCCUUUUCGCCCAGGUCCAUGUCCUGCAGAUGUGUGUACCCGAACUCGCCGCUCUCCUCCUGCGGAUUAAGAGUUAACCAUUCAAAACCUUCACUGGUCUUAUGCUUGGAAACCCACCGGCAGUCCAACGAGCAGCAGACUCAAGUGCUUCCUGAAGGCCACUGCGAUUAGGUUGUAGGCAAAGUCAUUGGUGCAUAUAUCGUAGCAGUAGAUGGCUUCAUUAAGCGGGAUGCUGUGGUCGGGCUCGUUGACAGAUCGCAUCUUUUUAUAUAUAUUGUUUGUUAUUCACGGGAUAAAUAAAUGCAACAAUUAGCCGGCGCCAAAAAAA